UACGUAGGGUGCAAGCGUUAAUCGGAAUUACUGGGCGUAAAGCGUGCGCAGGCGGUUUUGUAAGACAGGUGUGAAAUCCCCGGGCUUAACCUGGGAACUGCAUUUGUGACUGCAAGGCUGGAGUGCGGCAGAGGGGGGAUGGAAUUCCGCGUGUAGCAGUGAAAUGCGUAGAUAUGCGGAGGAACACCGAUGGCGAAGGCAAUCCCCUGGGCCUGCACUGACGCUCAUGCACGAAAGCGUGGGGAGCAAACAGG
rnacentral:rRNA from 1 species